rnacentral:hammerhead_ribozyme from 1 species
AUACUAAUGAAGAGUCCCAAACUAGGGCGAAACAGCUGUCCAGUAC